GUUUCGGGAAUGGGGGAAACCCGGACCGAGCAACGCGCCGUGAACGACGAAGUACNUCNNUAUGUNANGUUUCUAUAUAUGGGNNNNNAAAUUAAAAAUCAACGGUACCAUAUGAAUAAGCUCCGCCUAACUAUGUGCCAGCCGCCGAGGUAAUACAGAGGGGGCGAGCGGUAUCCGGAUUUACUUGGCGAAAAGGGUGCGUAGGUGGUUAUAAGAGUGUCUAGUGUAAGUGCAAUGCUUAACGCUGUGAGGCGAUGAAAACUAUAUGACUAGAGUGAGACAGCGGCAAGUGGAAUUCCAUGUGUAGCGGUAAACUGCGUAAAUAUAUGGAAGAACACCAGUGGCGAGGGCGGCUUGCUGGGUCUAUACUGACACUGAUGAACGAAAGCGUGGGGAGCAAACAGG
rnacentral:rRNA from 1 species